rnacentral:rRNA from 1 species
CAGUAGCCGCGGUAAUACGAAGGGGGCUAGCGUUGUUCGGAAUUACUGGGCGUAAAGCGCACGCAGGCGGCUCGAUAAAUUAGAAGUGAAAGCCUUGGGCUUAACCUGAGAAUUGCUUUUAAGACUGUCGAGCUAGAAUCCAGAAGAGGGUAGUGGAAUUCCGAGUGUAGAGGUGAAAUUCGUAGAUAUUCGGAAGAGCACCAGUGGCGAAGGCGGCGACCUGGUCUUUAACUGACGCUGAGGCGCGAAAGCGUGGGGAGCAAACAGGAUUAGAUACCCCUGUAGUCCCUGUCUCUUAUAC